UGGCUGGCUUGGCAUGAGAGAGCUCACUAGGUUUCUCAGCAUGGUGGGUUACUACAGAGGGUUUUGUGAGAAUUGUUCUCACAAAAGGCUCCUUUGACUGACCUUGUGAGCCUGAAGGAAGGACACAAGGGCUUGUAACCAUGGAAGGGAAUGCAUCUGACCGAGCAGCAAACUUAGAAGUUGAAGAGAAGAAAUACUGCAACAGAUUAGACAGGCAACUUUGACCUGUAGCUAGAUUAAGAAACAGAGGUAACAUGCAUUGCUGAACACAUACUCUGAUGUAGGAAAGCUAACGUUAAAGGCUUCCUUUUUACAGUUGAAGUUAAAUUUGUUAUGUCCAUCUUAGGAACUGUAGGUGUUUUUUCUUAUACUCUUCAAACUGUAUGAGAGAGCUGUUAACUCAGUCAUUGCCAUCACCAUGCCAUUGUCUGUGUCAUGUCACUGAGUUACCAUUGCCUUGCCUUCUUUGACCCAGCUGUUAUCAACCAUGAUACUGUUGUGAAUAAACCAUCAGAUACAAUUUGA